rnacentral:misc_RNA from 1 species
CAUGAAGAACGUAGCGAAAUGCGAUACGUAAUGUGAAUUGCAGAAUUCAGUGAAUCAUCGAGUCUUUGAACGCACAUUGCGCCCCCUGGUAUUCCGGGGGGCAUGCCUGUCCGAGCGUCAUUGCUGCCCUCAAGCACGGCUUGUGUGUUGGGCCUCCGUCCUCCUCCCGGGGGACGGGCCCGAAAGGCAGCGGCGGCACCGCGUCCGGUCCUCGAGCGUAUGGGGCUUCGUCACCCGCUCUUGUAGGCCCGGCCGGCGCUUGCCGACACAUCAAUCUUUUUUCCAGGUUGACCUCGGAUCAGGUAGGGAUACCCGCUGAACUUAAGCAUAUCAAUAAGCGGAGGA